GGUGAAGAUGUGGAAGAGCUGGUGGCUGUGGCCGAUAAUGUCGAAAAGACCCGGCUGGAUGCGCUCGGGGAUCUUGCUCACGUUGAAGAAGGCGGCCACCACCAGCCAGAAGUAGCGGCGGUAGAAGUGCACGAAGAGUGUGGGGUUCUCCCCACGCAGGUCGAAGAGCCAGCUCUCGAGCAUAAUGGGGCAGGCCAUGCUGAGCGGCAUGACGAAGACGAAGGUGCGCAGCGCGAACGGGACUUCUAUUUGGAACUGAGUCCGACAGCUCAGGACUGGCUGCUCAAACUCCACAAUUUAAUGAAAAAUCUCAGAUGAUGACUCAGAAAACCUCUAAUGAUCUGAGGAAUAUAUUAAGGGAUUCCAGAGUCAAAGGCUGAUCAUGGAGGGCAUUGAUGAGGGAAGACUUCAGGUGGCUGGAGACCAGAAGAAAGGAACACUGGAAGAAUGAAAACGGUUGUGAUGCACUGCAGUGUG
ensembl:lncRNA PAQR9-AS1 PAQR9 antisense RNA 1